AACCCAUGGUGAGGGCACUUUCUCAAUAAAUUAUUGUAUCUUUCCCAUGCAUCAUAAAGUGUUUCUAAAUCCAUCUGCAAAAGAGGAGAUAUCAUUCCUCAAUUU
rfam:Gossypium hirsutum cultivar TM-1 chromosome 9, whole genome shotgun sequence